CCUACGGGAGGCAGCAGUGGGGAAUCUUGCGCAAUGGGCGAAAGCCUGACGCAGCCAUGCCGCGUGAAUGAUGAAGGUCUUAGGAUUGUAAAAUUCUUUCACCGAGGACGAUAAUGACGGUACUCGGAGAAGAAGCCCCGGCUAACUUCGUGCCAGCAGCCGCGGUAAUACGAAGGGGGCUAGCGUUGCUCGGAAUUACUGGGCGUAAAGGGAGCGUAGGCGGAUAGUUUAGUCAGAGGUGAAAGCCCAGGGCUCAACCUUGGAAUUGCCUUUGAUACUGGCUAUCUUGAGUACGGAAGAGGUAUGUGGAACUCCGAGUGUAGAGGUGAAAUUCGUAGAUAUUCGGAAGAACACCAGUGGCGAAGGCGACAUACUGGUCCGUUACUGACGCUGAGGCUCGAAAGCGUGGGGAGCAAACAGGAUUAGAUACCCUGGUAGUCCACGCUGUAAACGAUGAGUGCUAGUUGUCGGCAUGCAUGCAUGUCGGUGGACGCAGCUAACGACAUUAAGACGACUCCGCCGUCGGGGAGGUACGGGUCGGUCGAAGAAGUUAAACUUAACGUAAAGAAAGUUAGUACGGCGUUGAGACGNGCGACGGACGACGACGAGGGAGGAGG
rnacentral:rRNA from 1 species